rnacentral:rRNA from 1 species
AAUAUUGGACAAUGGGGGGAACCCUGAUCCAGCCAUGCCGCGUGUGUGAAGAAGGUCUUCGGAUUGUAAAGCACUUUACGUUGGGAGGAAGGGCUUUAGGCUAAUACCCUGAAGUUUUGACGUUACCAACAGAAUAAGCACCGGCUAACUCUGUGCCAGCAGCCGCGGUAAUACAGAGGGUGCAGUCGUUAAUCGGAAUUACUGUGCGUAAAGCGCGCGUAGGUGGUUCAGUAAGAUAGAAGUGAAAUCCCCGGGCUUAACCUGGGAACUGCUUUCAUAACUGCUGAGCUAGAGUACGGUAGAGGGUAGUGGAAUUUCCUGUGUAGCGGUGAAAUGCGUAGAUAUAGGAAGGAACACCAGUGGCGAAGGCGACUACCUGGACUGAUACUGACACUGAGGUGCGAAAGCGUGGGGAGCAAACAGG